GAAAUGGCUAUCUUUCAUACCAGAAAAUCAACACUGAUGUUGGCAGCUGCUGUUAGUCUCAGAAAUCAAGUUUGAAAGGUCUGUCCAUACGAUCUUCUGUCAGAGCCUGCAAAGACCCUGACUGCUUUUUUCAUCACACCAUGGAAGCAAGCCAUCAAGGACAGGGACUCCUCAAACCAGCACAAUCACCACUGACUCCGAUCUGUCAAGUCACAGUCUGAUAAACCUGAACUAAAAAGCAGACAGUAGGCUGUCUUCUGUUGGAUGGAGCAUUCCCUGUAGCUCGAGACCUACUUCUGCAAGACUAGAAUAAAAUUUAUACUUUCUCAUGCCCAUGUUGCAGAAUCUCCUCUGCAGUUCCUCAGACAUUUUUCAACUUCACGUUCUUGCAUGAUAACCAUGGCUUUCUCAUUUUGCCAAAUAAUAUUCAAAAUGCAAUAAAGAAAAAGAUCUUUGCUGAGUAUGCAGGUACUGAGCAACUUCAAUGAUUAAAUUAUUCUACAAAUAUCAGUAAAAAGAAGCAAUAAAAAUACAAAAUCAUGUAGCAGAGUAUUAUCUAUUAUGCUAUUAUUUUGAAGACAGCUGCCAUCAAGAGAUAUAUAUCCAUAGUGAAAAUCAAUGCAAACAAAAUACAUCUAAUAAAUCUCUAUUAAUUUUU